AAGAAGAGCCUUCGCAAAAAAAUAUAAAUAAAACUUUGAUGACGAAUGGUGAGCGAUGAACGACAUUCAAGCAACCACUGAUUUGGGUAACACAAGAACAAGGUGUCAUAUGAAAAUUUUAUGCUGAUGUAAAAAUAUUCACAUGACAAUAACUAGAUUUUUUGAAACUGCAAAACGCGAUUACUUCUGAGGUGCUACAACAAUAAAAGACAAACAAGACGGAUAUAUUAGUCUUGCUAGUCUACAUCGGCUUAUGUAUACUUGCAUAUUUAAUAUGUUUGGUGACCUGUAGGUAUCAUGCUUUGCACCUGUUGUAAAGUGCAAUGGUUACAUAGUAAUUACAAAGUCAAAAUAAUUUCUUUUUCGCCCUCGCACAUGAAGACAUAAAAUGGACUAUUGACUGCAGACUUCAAUGAUUAUGAAGCAAAAUAGCAUAUUGCGCAAAGAACAACACAAGGAAAGAAAAAUCGAGAGAAUUCGACUUGGGAGAAAAACAUUCUAAUAUUCCCAGCCUUGGAGUGGCAACAAAAAUACUAUAUCUUUAAUUUGCUGGUUAUUUCUUGAGGAUAAUAAAAGCUACUACGUUGGGAUAAAACAGACAAACCCAGGCAUUCCCAUAACCAGCUGUUUUAUUGGGAUAUGGUGUAUAGUGCAAGCAGAUAAGCAAGCGUAAACGUAAGGCCACGACAGGUAAAUAAACACUGGAACAUGUGAAUUCCGGAUGGCUUUAUAAAUGAAAAAAAGGCGUCGUCAGCAAUUUAGUGAAUGUAGGCUUCUGCCAACUCGAAAUAAUAGCUUGAUUUUAUUGACUAUAGUGAAAUAUUUAUCUUUCUGCUGGUUCAUCAGAGCUGCUUCAUUAAAUAUCAUGAAAUAAACCAUGUCGUUUCAAAAAA